rnacentral:rRNA from 1 species
AAAUUUGAAAUCUGGCGCAAGCCCGAGUUGUAAUUUGUAGAGGAUGCUUCUGGCCAGCGGCCGUUCUAAGUUCCUUGGAACAGGACGUCAUAGAGGGUGAGAAUCCCGUAUGUGACCGGCGCGCAGCCUUUACGUAGCUCCUUCGACGAGUCGAGUUGUUUGGGAAUGCAGCUCUAAAUGGGAGGUAAAUUUCUUCUAAAGCUAAAUACCGGCCAGAGACCGAUAGCGCACAAGUAGAGUGAUCGAAAGAUGAAAAGCACUUUGGAAAGAGAGUUAAAAAGCACGUGAAAUUGUUGAAAGGGAAGCGCUUGCAACCAGACUUCGUAGCGAUGUUCCGCCGGUCAAAAGACCGGUCUACUCAUCGUCGCGAGGCCAACAUCGUCUGGGGCCGCCGGAUAAGACCUAAGGAAUGUAGCUUCCCUCGGGAAGUGUUAUAGCCUUUGGUGAUGCGGCGCGUCUCGGGCGAGGUCCGCGCUUCGGCAAGGAUGUUGGCGUAAUGGUUGCCAGCGGCCCGUCUUGAAACACGGACCAAGGAGUCUAACAUCUAUGCGAGUGUUCGGGUGUCAAACCCCUACGCGUAAUGAAAGUGAACGGAGGUGGGAAGCGCAAGCUGCACCAUCGACCGAUCCUGAUGUCCUCGGAUGGAUUUGAGUAAGAGCAUAGCUGUUGGGACCCGAAAGAUGGUGAACUAUGCCUGAAUAGGGUGAAGCCAGAGGAAACUCUGG